UACGGAGGGUGCAAGCGUUAUCCGGAUUCACUGGGUUUAAAGGGUUCGUAGGCGGUGCGGCAAGUUGGGAGUGAAAUCUCUGGGCUUAACCCAGAGGCUGCUUCCGAAACUGCUGUGCUUGAGUGUGGGAGAGGCGCGUGGAACUGCGAGUGUAGAGGUGAAAUUCGUAGAUAUUCGCAAGAACACCAGUGGCGAAGGCGGCUCACUGGUCCGGUACUGACGCUGAGGUGCGAAAGCGUGGGGAGCAAACAGG
rnacentral:rRNA from 1 species